rnacentral:tRNA from 1 species
GGGGAUUUAGCUCAGCGGCAUAGCGCCUGCCUUGCAAGCAGGCAGUCCUGUGAGUUCGAUCCCCG